UGCGUAGGUGGCCGAUUAAGUCAGAGGUGAAAUCCCACAGCUCAACUGUGGAACUGCCUUUGAUACUGGUUGUCUUGAGUUAUAGUGAAGUAGAUAGAAUAUGUAGUGUAGCGGUGAAAUGCAUAGAUAUUACAUAGAAUACCGAUUGCGAAGGCAGUCUACUAACUGUAUACUGACGCUAAUGGACGAAAGCGUGGGGAGCAAACAGGAUUAGAUACCCUGGUAGUCC
rnacentral:rRNA from 1 species